ACCACCGCAUCCCCCAGCCCCGAGGCCGGGGAGCCGCCAGGCGGCAGCGUGCAGCAAGGCACGGCUCUGCCGCCGCCCUGCGCCCUCCCAGGGAGGAGGAGGAUGGAGCCCGGCAGAAAAAAGGCUCUUCCUCCUGAAAAAUAAAAAAUGCGCUUUUAAUCCUCCCGAAGAAGCGCCCUGGGAAGCCCUGCGAACAAACAGGACGCCAAGGAACAAAGCAGGAGGCGCUGGCGCAGCGUUAUUAGCCUGGAUUAGCGAGGGGCGGCAGGAGCCACGCGGGGAAGGUGUGACUCCUCGUUAAGACUGCUCUACCGAAAGCUCCCGCUCUGCCUGCAGCCGCUGCCUCGAUGCCAGCCUAGUAGUUCUGAGCUGUGAUUUCAUAAUGUGAAAUCUCUUUAAAAAAUAAAACAGUAAAAAAUCUCUCCACCACUUCUUCUCUGAAGCCAAGGUCUGGCCAGGGGAUACCAGGGAAACUGGAGUGAAGAUAUGCCUGUUUGCUUUGAGGUAGGAAAGCCCUCUGCUGGUUAACAUAAACUAAUUAACACACUAAUCUGAAUGUUUUUAUAGAUAACAGAACCACACACACACACACAAAGGAGAGAGUGGUUAAGGAAGAGGCAGAGAAAAAUCAUCGGUGAUCUCAGAAAUUGUCAUUCUUCAGCUUAUUUACUAGACCCAUAAAUGCAAAGGGUAGAUUUUUUUAUUUUUUUUCCCCUCCUGUUUCUAACUUUAAACACUCUUUGGCUUACAAAAUACAUGCUUUAAUAAAUGUUAUUAGUUAUUUGCAAUAAUCAAGUGCAAAAAAGGAACUUCAGAACCCAGUGAGAUGCAUGGGCAGAUUUGAGCGCUCCAACACUGAAAAAGCAGUUUAUAUACACAUUAUAACCAGGUCUCAUGUUUGCCAUGCAAAACAAAGGAAACAAUUCCUUCCUAUAAUAUGCGUGCUGUUUGCACUCAUCUUUUUGUCUCAUGUCAUGUCUCUUUAAAACAUAUUUUAAAAUUAAUUCACAGCCAAAACAGUGAAAUUACUUGAUC